CACAAUACAACUUAGAUUGUUGAAUGUUUCUUAGUUACAUAGUAUUGUUUUGAAAUACUUCAAAGAAAAAUGUCCGUAUGUUUCAGGUGCGUUGACCUAUACACAUCGUGACGUUAUUUCAGUUCAUAUUCACCUGCUGCACAAUAAUUUUUUACAGAUCUGACGUGACCCGUCGAGUAAUUGGUCCACGUGCAGUUCGUUUUUUACAUUCCGUGGAAGCUUGGUUGCAGAACCUCGGACGGCACAUAGCUGGCGUCGAUCCUUGGACAGUCCAGGUGGUGGCGCGCGCUGAAAGAAGAGUUCUUCUGCCUUCAACUGCGUCACUGGAACCGCUGAAAUGAAAAUUUCUAUACUACUUAU